GACGAACGCUGGCGGCGUGCUUAACACAUGCAAGUCGAACGGAAAGGCCCUGCUUUUGUGGGGUGCUCGAGUGGCGAACGGGUGAGUAACACGUGAGUAACCUGCCCUUGACUUUGGGAUAACUUCAGGAAACUGGGGCUAAUACCGGAUAGGAGCUCCUGCUGCAUGGUGGGGGUUGGAAAGUUUCGGCGGUUGGGGAUGGACUCGCGGCUUAUCAGCUUGUUGGUGGGGUAGUGGCUUACCAAGGCUUUGACGGGUAGCCGGCCUGAGAGGGUGACCGGCCACAUUGGGACUGAGAUACGGCCCAGACUCCUACGGGAGGCAGCAGUGGGGAAUAUUGCACAAUGGGCGGAAGCCUGAUGCAGCAACGCCGCGUGCGGGAUGACGGCCUUCGGGUUGUAAACCGCUUUCGCCUGUGACGAAGCGUGAGUGACGGUAAUGGGUAAAGAAGCACCGGCUAACUACGUGCCAGCAGCCGCGGUGAUACGUAGGGUGCGAGCGUUGUCCGGAUUUAUUGGGCGUAAAGGGCUCGUAGGUGGUUGAUCGCGUCGGAAGUGUAAUCUUGGGGCUUAACCCUGAGCGUGCUUUCGAUACGGGUUGACUUGAGGAAGGUAGGGGAGAAUGGAAUUCCUGGUGGAGCGGUGGAAUGCGCAGAUAUCAGGAGGAACACCAGUGGCGAAGGCGGUUCUCUGGGCCUUUCCUGACGCUGAGGAGCGAAAGCGUGGGGAGCGAACAGGCUUAGAUACCCUGGUAGUCCACGCUGUAAACGGUGGGUACUAGGGGUGGGGUCCAUUCCACGGGUUCCGUGCCGUAGCUAACGCUUUAAGUACCCCGCCUGGGGAGUACGGCCGCAAGGCUAAAACUCAAAGGAAUUGACGGGGCCCCGCACAAGCGGCGGAGCAUGCGGAUUAAUUCGAUGCAACGCGUAGAACCUUACCUGGGUUUGACAUGGAUCGGGAGUGCUCAGAGAUGGGUGUGCCUCUUUUGGGGUCGGUUCACAGGUGGUGCAUGCCUGUCGUCAGCUCGUGUCGUGAGAUGUUGGGUUAAGUCCCGCAACGAGCGCAACCCUUGUUCACUGUUGCCAGCACGUUAUGGUGGGGACUCAGUGGAGACCGCCGGGGUCAACUCGGAGGAAGGUGGGGAUGACGUCAAGUCCUCAUGCCCCUUAUGUCCAGGGCUUCACGCAUGCUGCAAUGGCUGGUACAGAGAGUGGCGAGCCUGUGAGGGUGAGCGAAUCUCGGANAGCCGGUCUCAGUUCGGAUUGGGGUCUGCAACUCGACCUCAUGAAGUCGGAGUCGCUAGUAAUCGCAGAUCAGCAACGCUGCGGUGAAUACGUUCCCGGG
rnacentral:rRNA from 1 species